rnacentral:rRNA from 1 species
CAGCAGCCGCGGGAAUACGUAGGGUGCGAGCGUUAAUCGGAAUUACUGGGCGUAAAGCGUGCGCAGGCGGUCUUGUAAGACAGGCGUGAAAUCCCCGGGCUCAACCUGGGAAUGGCGCUUGUGACUGCAAAGCUAGAGUGCGGCAGAGGGGGAUGGAAUUCCGCGUGUAGCAGUGAAAUGCGUAGAUAUGCGGAGGAACACCGAUGGCGAAGGCAAUCCCCUGGGCCUGCACUGACGCUCAUGCACGAAAGCGUGGGGAGCGAACAGGAUUAGAUACCCCCGUAGUCCCUGUCUCUUAUAA